ACGUACUGUAUAAGAAGCACGGCUAACUACGUGCCAGCAGACUGCGGUAUUACGUAGGGUCCGAGCGUGUCCUGCAACUACUGAGCGUAAAGAGCUCGUAGGUCGUCUGUCGCGUCGUCUGUGAAAUUACCGGGGCUUAACUUCGGGCGUGCAGGCGAUACGGGCAUACUUGAGUGCUGUAGGUGAGACUCGAAUUCGUAGUGUAGCGAUGAAAUGCGCAGAUAUCAGGAGGAACACCGAUGGCGAAGGCAGGUCUCUGGGCAGUUACUGACGCUGACGAGCGAAAGCAUGGGUAGCACACAGGAUUAGAUAACCUGGUAGUUCAUGCCGUAAACGGUGGGCGCUAGGUGUAGGGGGCUUCCACGUCUUCUGUGCCGUAGCUAACGCAUUAAGCGCCCCGCCUGGGGAGUACGGCCGCAAGGCUAAAACUCAAAGGAAUUGACGGGGGCCCGCACAAGCGGCGGAGCAUGUGGAUUAAUUCGAUGCAACGCGAAGAACCUUACCUGGGCUUGACAUACACCAGAUUGCUGCAGAGAUGUAGUGUCCCUUGUGGUUGGUGUACAGGUGGUGCAUGGUUGUCGUCAGCUCGUGUCGUGAGAUGUUGGGUUAAGUCCCGCAACGAGCGCAACCCUUGUCUUAUGUUGCCAGCAUUUGGUUGGGGACUCAUGAGAGACUGCCGGGGUUAACUCGGAGGAAGGUGGGGAUGACGUCAAAUCAUCAUGCCCCUUAUGUCCAGGGCUUCACACAUGCUACAAUGGUCGGUACAACGCGCAGCGACACUGUGAGGUGGAGCGAAUCGCUGAAAGCCGGUCUUAGUUCGGAUUGGGGUCUGCAACUCGACCCCAUGAAGUCGGAGUCGCUAGUAAUCGCAGAUCAGCAACGCUGCGGUGAAUACGUUCCCGGGCCUUGUACACACCGCCCGUCACGUCAUGAAAGUUGGUAACACCCGAAGCCAGUGGCCUAAACUUGUUAGGGAGCUUC
rnacentral:rRNA from 1 species